AAUUGCAAUAUCGGGAGACAUCUCAGGUACCGGGAAUCUCAAAAUUUCAAGUGGUCGAUUUCAUAAUCAGUCUCUUUAGGGACUCUGACAAGGCAUUUCUGAAUGUGAUACCAGUAAGCUGCAAUCGGCAGCACAGAAUCACAACCAGCCAUCAGCAAACAGAAAUGGAAAAUUUCAGCUGGACCACACAGAUAGAUAGGAGGGAGAAAUGAGUCUGCAGCUCUGAUGGAAAUCUCCAAGGUUACCACGGGAUUUGUUCCUAUUGGUGGACUUGAGAUCACUCUUCUCAUUAUUCCGGAAACAAUUUGAAUGCCCACACUCCUUCAGUCACAGACAAGAAAAUCAGACACCUUGAGCCUUCUUGGAAAUCAACUAUUUAUUGAUCAUGACAGCAAGUAGUGCCAAUUGAACAUCUCUGAUGUGAGUCAAGAGAUUUUCAUGUAUAUGAGGAUAUCAAUAUUUCAUUUGGAUUCAGGAUUUUUUCUAUUUGAUUCUGGAAGCACAAAAGCAAUUAUUUUCAUGUACAGCAGUAGUAAUCAGUCAAUGUUGGACCACUACACAUCAGCCACUGGACAUGUGUGGGAAGAAUCACUGAUAUGUGGACUGUUUGUGUAAGAGAAGGAGGUGUGAACAGAAAUAUUUGGAAUGCCUGGGCCACUUGGGAUUAUAGUAUAAAAUAAGCAGAGAUUUGAGAAAAACCCAGACACUUUCUGGAUCUUUAGAAUGGCAUGGAGAAAUGGAUCUUUAGAAUGGCAUUGUUUUGCUGAGAUUUCUUUGAAUGGUAUAUUUAUACAAUUGUGACGCUUUUAGAAGAUCUAAUUGAUGAAUUAUGAUGUGAAAACAGUCUAUACCAUGGACAUGCAAUGUUGAAGAGAGAAGAGAGAGCACAAAAAAGAAAGUGAUGAAACUUAGUUACUAGGAAGCAAUGGUGGCAAUAUUUGA